ACGAACGCUGGCGGUGUGCUUAACACAUGCAAGUCGAACGGGUCUGCCCUGUUUUUUGCGGGGUGGGUCAGUGGCGAACGGGUGAGUAACACGUGAGUAACCUGCCCCUCACUUCUGGAUAACCGCUUGAAAGGGUGGCUAAUACGGGGUGUUCUGGCUGUGCCGCAUGGUGUGGCUGGGAAAGAUUCACUUUUGUGGUGUUUUGGUGGGGGAUGGGCUCGCGGCCUAUCAGCUUGUUGGUGGGGUGAUGGCCUGCCAAGGCUUUGACGGGUAGCCGGCCUGAGAGGGUGGGCGGUCACACUGGGACUGAGAUACGGCCCAGACUCCUGCGGGAGGCAGCAGUGGGGGGUAUUGCACAAUGGGCGGAAGCCUGAUGCAGCGACGUCGCGUGAGGGAUGGAGGCCUUCGGGUUGUGAACCUCUUUCGCCGGUGAAGAAGGUCCUGCUCUUUGUGGUGGGGUUGACGGUAGCCGGGUUAUGAAGCGCCGGCUAACUACGUG
rnacentral:rRNA from 1 species